rnacentral:rRNA from 1 species
GACGAACGCUGGCGGCGUGCUUAACACAUGCAAGUCGAGCGGUAAGGCUCCUUCGGGAGUACACGAGCGGCGAACGGGUGAGUAACACGUGAGUAAUCUGCCCCUCACUUUGGGAUAAGCCUCGGAAACGAGGUCUAAUACCGGAUACGACCACUUCUCGCAUGAGAUGGUGGUGGAAAGUUUUUCGGUGGGGGAUGUGCUCGCGGCCUAUCAGCUUGUUGGUGGGGUAAUGGCCUACCAAGGCUUCGACGGGUAGCCGGCCUGAGAGGGUGACCGGCCACACUGGGACUGAGACACGGCCCAGACUCCUACGGGAGGCAGCAGUGGGGAAUAUUGCACAAUGGGCGAAAGCCUGAUGCAGCAACGCCGCGUGAGGGAUGACGGCCUUCGGGUUGUAAACCUCUUUUAGCAGGGAAGAAGCGAAAGUGACGGUACCUGCAGAAAAAGCGCCGGCUAACUACGUGCCAGCAGCCGCAGUAAAAC